rnacentral:rRNA from 1 species
ACGGGAGGCAGCAGUGGGGGAUAUUGCGCAAUGGGGGAAACCCUGACGCAGCAACGCCGCGUGAAGGAAGACGGUUUUCGGAUUGUAAACUUCUUUUAUGAGGGACGAAGGAAGUGACGGUACCUCAUGAAUAAGCUCCGGCUAACUACGUGCCAGCAGCCGCGGUAAUACGUAGGUGGCAAGCGUUAUCCGGAUUUACUGGGUGUAAAGGGCGCGUAGGCGGGAGAGCAAGUCAGAUGUGAAAUCUGUGGGCUUAACUCACAAACUGCAUUUGAAACUGUUUUUCUUGAGUGCUGGAGAGGUAGAUGGAAUUCCUUGUGUAGCGGUGAAAUGCGUAGAUAUAAGGAAGAACACCAGUGGCGAAGGCGAUCUACUGGACAGUAACUGACGCUGAGGCGCGAAAGCGUGGGGAGCAAACAGGAUUAGAUACCCUGGUA